rnacentral:misc_RNA from 1 species
UACUCUCACACUCUCAAAUUAGAGAGUGGUGGACUUGGAUGUUGCCUGGUACUUGCUGUCAGGCUUGUCUAAAAUGAGUUAGUACGACUCCUAGUUAAACAUAGUAUGGUGUUAUAACUAAACCCUCACUGUUUUCUGUCUGAUUAGGAGCUCUGUGCUUCCAACCGUCUUCAGACAAUAUUUGAUA